rnacentral:lncRNA from 1 species
UGCUUUUCUUUGGAUCUAAGGGGUGAUCAUAACAUAACUAUUACAACCUUUUAUCAAUCGCCAAUUCAAAUGCAUAAAAUAUGCUCAAAUAUCACACCAAAAACCUUUCAAGGAACCAAAACUCACUCCAUCUGGACCAACAAUUUCAAAGCUAGCAUAGUUCCACACAACUUGUUUCACUUCCUCAUCAAAAAAGGCUUAAAUUACUAACGAAUGUAAUUCAGUAGAUCCAACUUAUGUAACCCUUAUUUAAACAUCUUCAUUUUUACAUUCAAAUUAGAAAUGUUCUCCUUAUGCCAACCCCACGACACCUUCUUCACCCUUUUCAAUUUUUAUUUUAUAACGAACAUUCGACUAUGUUUUAAAGUUUUCUGAUACCCGUUAAAAUCCACCCAAAAUUUUAUCAUAUAGAAUGGCUAAGCCUUCCGGUCUUCCUCUACAUUUGAUAACAAGAACGCACUAUGAUUAGACAAAUCUCUAUCAAGUAUUCAUCGAGAACAUUAUUCCAUCAAAUAACAAC